ACUAAAGCCGCCGCCAUGUUUGUAGUCUGAGGUUGGGCGCUCCUCAAGCUCCAUUGGAUCGCCUCAACUCUUCAACCUGCUUUGGGAUCUCUGGCCGAGCGAUUCGGUAGGACCGUCCAGGUUAGUUCACCUAACAUGCGCUGGAGACGUCCCGUACGCAGAUGGUUGUUCUCCCGUAGAUCUUCAAAGAAGAUUGGAUGUGAUUGGAUGAAUUGUUAGAAAAAGAGCCAUCUGCAAUCUGCAACUGGACAAUGACAUGCGUUCAUGGCGCGCAAAGGAGCAAUCGAGGGUGCAUGACGAGAUUGAUAAGGAUGGAUCACGUUUUUCUUUCUUUUCUUGACGGGAAGGCCGAACUCAUCUGAAGGAAUUAUGAUUUGUGUUGUACAGAAUUCGCCUGUUAGCAUCUUCGAUCGAUCGUCCAAGCGGUCUGGUAACUUGAAACCUUUGGCUGAUACAGAUGAAUUGACUGGGAAGGUGCAGUGAUCUUGUGAGCGGAAGAGCGAAAAAUUCACAUGGAGAAGGGUCCAACGAGGGGAGCUGCGUGAUGCAGACUAACAAUCAACCGGUAAUUUUAUGAGGACAAGUACAAUUACGGUGGAAUUUUUUUUCAUCAGUAUUUAAUUGGGCGCAUGGACAAAUCAGUAUGCUGAUUCCCAUCUUCUCAUGCACUUUUUGUCCACUUCUUGAUUUUCUAACUGGCUCGAUGAUUCAAGCUGGCUCGAUCUGCUAUUGGGAGAUUCAUGGUUACUGACAUGCAGCGUUGUAUUCCCAGUCUGCUGAUAGGUACGCGGACGUUGUAGACACUGCAAUAAUUAAACAAGAGUGAUCAAUAUCGGCCCCGUGUGUACGCAUUGCGGCGACAUGCAUGACCACGACGGUUAUCGCCGGAAGAAUUGUUUCACAAUAUUGGCGCUUGAUUCUCUUCCAUAGUUAAAUUGGCCCUGCUAUAUACAAAACUGAACUGUUGCGCGACUUGGACGCGUCUCCUCUCCCGCUACAGUAGAGGCGACUUUCUGGAACCCCCGAGCAGAUCCACCCCCUCGCCGUCGAUUCGCCGGGUCCCCUGUCCUCCGCCGGCCGCUGCGCCGGCGGGAGGAUGGGGGAGCCUCGUCUCGUGUGUGUGUGUAGGGUAGGCUCUGCUGGGACCCUGGCCGCUGGCGUUUUGGAGUGGGCGGCGCGGCUGGUCUUCGUUUUGCAGGUGGUGCUCGUCCCCUCCAGCGGUGGAGUUCUUCGGAGCGCCAUGGCGGAGCGCCUCCUCGUCCGCGCUCGCGGGUCCCGGUGGACGAUGCGUGCGUUUAUCCCCCUCUGGAUCUCGACGCGGCGGAUCCAGUUGACAAUCCCGAAGCCCCUGAUGUUGGAUCAAGACGGCGUUACCGGCGGAGCAGAGUGGAGGCUCCCCGGAGUUCGAGGUCCGGUGACUACCCCGCCGCCUGGGGACAUCUUCCGAUCCAAGGCUUGUGCGAAGAUGCAGCGGCGGCCCGCCACCGGCACGUUCUUCUCCGCGUCGGCGAUGCUAUUUUGCAGAAAGGACCUGUGUGUAAUUUCUAGCUUUCAGGUGUUCUUUUCUGUAACUCUUGUUUCAAUAUAAUCAGUGGUUUCCUCGCAAAAAAAAAAAAUUUGGCCCUGUCUAUUUAGUCCCAAUCAAAGAGAUGUACAUAUCUGCUAUUUUUUUUCUUGAUCUUAAGCAAACCAAAUUUCUGGUG